UCCUGGAUCUCACUCAAUGAGCUGAGUCUUGUAGAUGCCUCUGUGUGUUUUCACGAUUAGUUCAGGAAUUGAAAAAAGAAUCUGCUUUUGAGUAUAUUGAGAGUUAAUUAAACGUGUCAGAAGGGUCGAUUUUUUUACAAACUUGCACUUAAAUUUGGUAUGGGUCCCGUCAUCUUCUUUCAAUAAUUACUAUUGGAUAUUUUUAUUUAUUAUAUCAAGAAAGAAUUUGAUAGACGUGGAAACAAAAAUGGAGAUGAUGAUGAUGAGUUUAUCUAUCAUUGUGUCCAAAAAAAAAAAAAAAAUCUAUCUUUGUCACAUAUCAGCUAUCUUUUACACUAAUUUCUUAUCAAUACUAUUAAAACAGGAACAUGUCCUAUUGAUAAUAGUUGUGUCCAACUUAAAAAUAUCUAAUUACAUAUAAAAACUACAUUUAUAUUCUAUAUAUUUUGUAACCACCUCCAUAAUAAACGGGACCCACUUGAUCAUUCUUUCUUUUGCUAUUAAUCUCGACCGUAUCAGUUACAACCGUUCCAAAAUAUCUCGAGGCCCCAAUCAAAACAUAACAAAAUGUGGUAUUUUUUUUUUGAUCAACCAAUGUGGUAUUUAUAUUUGAUUUACUAAAG
rnacentral:lncRNA from 1 species